AAUUGAAGAUCAAACGAACUUACCAAGUGAAGUUCGAUCGAAAUUAUGUGAACAGCUUCAUUCGACGCGAUUUAAAGUUAACAUAGUGUAGUAGCACCCCCAAGCAUCAGCCUUGCACGGUUUUUUAAAGUUUUGUACUGGCAACAUUUAAAAAGAAAAAAGUUACCCCUUCCACUACUCCCACCUGGCGACGGUUGGAACCGCCAUUUUUACUUCAUUUGUUUACAGCAUAAUUUAAACGCAUUUAUUUCACAUCAAUAUUAAUGUGGGUAGGGCGUUAGUUAAUAUUGUGUACCCAAUAUUUAAGUUUAGAGGGCGGGUUGUUAUAAAUCGCGUCGAAUGAAGCUGUUCACAUAAUUUCGAUCGAACUUCACUUGGUAAGUUCGUUUGAUCUUCAAUUAUGUUUCACAGCUUCAUUCUUUGCGAUUUAAAGUUAACAUAGUGUAGGAUGUUCAGAGCAUGUCAAUGUGAAAUAAAGCGUGAAGGAUCCAAGGAUUUACCUAGGUCUCCGGCAGAAGAGAGAAUUGAGCGAGCGAAUUGAUUACAAUCUGUGAUUAUUUCCUUAUGAUAAUAUUUGGCAAAUACACAUGAGGAAUCAGUCCAUCCUGCCGUCUUACGGAUUAGGUCAAGACUUACACCCAUCUUGUUGGCAGUGGAUGUGGCAGAGUGACGAGUGCUAUGUGCAGUGAAUAUGGAAGUAUCUAUUCCACUAUCGCGCAGUGUUGUUUUUAUCCAAGUACUUAGCGUUUGAGAUGUGACUUUAUUGUGCGGUUUUUUGUAACUUAUAAAUAAAGAAUGGUUAUUUGAAUGGCGGA